rnacentral:tmRNA from 1 species
GGGGGCGAUCUGGUUUCGACGUGUGCGCCCGAAACCGUAGUCGCGUGCCGAGGUCUCGGACCCUCGUAAAACACCGGGAAGAAACAACAACUGCCAACGAUAACUUGGCUCUGGCCGCGUAACUAACGCGGUCCGUCUCACGUUUGGCCCGGCCCGAGGCGGGACAUGAGGCGACGACGUAUCGGGCUGGAUGGGGCCGCACGCCGCGGGCGGUUCCGUCGAGAGCGGCGAAAGCCGAGCGGCUGGCCGUCCGAGGGCCGUCUGCGAGCCCGAGGGUGGCGAGAACGCGAUCGUAGACUACGCACGUAGACGCUGCGGGCGAAGGCCUCGCGGACGCGGGUUCGAUUCCCGCCGCCUCCAUCA